AAAACGUACGCUGGCGGCACGCCUAACACAUGCAAGUCGAACGAAGUAGCAAUACUUAGUGGCAGACGGGUGAGUAACAUGUGGGUAUCUGCCCUAUGGCCUGGAAUAACACGAGGAAACUUGUGCUAAUACCGGAUAAGUCUUUACAGAGAAAGCUUUAUGCACCAUUGGAUGAGCCCGCACUUGAUUAGUUUGUUGGUGGGGUAAUGGCCUACCAAGACUGUGAUCAAUAGCUGAUUUGAGAGGAUGAUCAGCCACAUUGGGACUGAGACACGGCCCAAACUCCUACGGGAGGCAGCAGUGGGGAAUCUUGCACAAUGGAGGAAACUCUGAUGCAGCGAUGCCGCGUGAGUGAAGAAGGCCCUUGGGUUGUAAAGCUCUUUCGUCGGGGAAGAAAAUGACUGUACCCGAAUAAGAAGGUCCGGCUAACUUCGUGCCAGCAGCCGCGGUAAUACGAAGGGACCUAGCGUAGUUCGGAAUUACUGGGCUUAAAGAGUUCGUAGGUGGUUGAAAAAGUUGGUGGUGAAAUCCCAGAGCUUAACUCUGGAACUGCCAUCAAAACUUUUCAGCUAGAGUAUGAUAGAGGAAAGCAGAAUUUCUAGUGUAGAGGUGAAAUUCGUAGAUAUUAGAAAGAAUACCAAUUGCGAAGGCAGCUUUCUGGAUCAUUACUGACACUGAGGAACGAAAGCAUGGGUAGCGAAGAGGAUUAGAUACCCUCGUAGUCCAUGCCGUAAACGAUGUGUGUUAGACGUUGGAAAUUUAUUUUCAGUGUCGCAGCGAAAGCGAUAAACACACCGCCUGGGGAGUACGACCGCAAGGUUAAAACUCAAAUGAAUUGACGGGGACCCGCACAAGUAGUGGAGCAUGUGGUUUAAUUCGAAGAUACGCGCAGAACCUUACCAACACUUGACAUGUUCGUCGCGACUCUAAGAGAUUAGAGUUUUCGGUUCGGCCGGACGAAACACAGGUGCUGCAUGGCUGUCGUCAGCUCGUGUCGUGAGAUGUUGGGUUAAGUCCCGCAACGAGCGCAACCCUCACUUUUAGUUGCCAUCAUUAAGUUGGGCACUCUGAAAGAACUGCCAGUGAUAAGCUGGAGGAAGGUGGGGAUGACGUCAAGUCCUCAUGGCCCUUACGUGUUGGGCUACACACGUGCUACAAUGGUAUCUACAACAGGAAGCAAGACGGCGACGUUGAGCAAAUCCUUAAAAGAUACCUCAGUUCGGAUUGCACUCUGCAACUCGAGUGCAUGAAGCUGGAAUUACUAGUAAUCGUGGAUCAGCGUGCCACGGUGAAUGCGUUCCCGGGUCUUGUACACACCGCCCGUCACACCAUGGGAGUUGGUUCUACCUUAAGGCAAGGUUUUAAACCCUUGACCACGGUAUAGUCAGCGACUGGGGUGAAGUCGUAACAAGGUA
rnacentral:rRNA from 1 species